GGGCUAUUGGCGCAGUUGGCUAGCGCACCAGUAUGACAUUCUGGGGGUCACAGGUUCGAGCCCUGUAUAGCCCA
rnacentral:tRNA from 1 species